CAUAGUCUCACAUUGCUGAUGAUGUUAAGAGAUUUGGACUCUUACUCCGCAUUUCCAUUUGAGAACUAUUUAGGCCAGCUUAAAUGACUUGCUCGAACACCAAACUGUCCACUGCGGCAGGUAAUUAAAAGAAUAUCUGAAAAUGUGCAGAUGGGCCUUUCCCUUAGACAGCAUAAGGAUUCUGUUCCCAGUGGUGAACCAAAAAAAACCUCAUAGAGGUGGCCCAUUAAAGAUUCCACCAAAGUCUGUUUAGCCGAUGCAAGCUUCAUUAUUAAAGCUAAAAUGCCAGAUUCCUCAUGGCCCAUGCAUCCAAUUCACCUGCACAAGUCAUUAAGGAUGCACAGCUAACAGACUGAAGGAGAGAAUGAUGCAGAGAAAUCACUAUGUGAUGACCAUUCAGUUAUGCAGCAGUGUCCACCAUCAUUGCCAUACUCUUUGCCGCCAGUGGUUGUAAGCCCUACGUGUCCCCAAGUGGCAGAUAUCAGCAAAGCAGCGUUUCACCUUUGCCAUCACGCCUCCAGUGCCCCUUGUCUGGUGUUCAUCCUGCCAGCAUAGGGAUCCACAACCCCUUGGAAGAUAAACACGAUAGACUAGAGAAAGCUGUACAACCUACAACCUAUAUUGUCUCUUCAGGAUGAGAAGAAAACUGAUGUGAAAGACAUGAAAAAUAGGCUUGUGCGGAUGGAGCGCCAAACCCAAGGAAAGGAGGUGACACGGGGGAAUCAGCCAGAGUAGUUAGUGCACCUCUUCGCUCGAAGUGAAUAAUUCAACAAUGGAUGGGCAUGUGCUGACCAUCACUUUGGGCUGUGCCAACAGACAUACUAUCAUCUGGAGCUCGUCGUCCCCACUAGGUGACAGUUAUUUUGCAAAUGAAAGA